AAUUUAAAAGAUACUUUAUAUAAAUACGCAUUUACCAAAUAUUUUACCUGGAAGUUUUCCGUAAUAAAAUAAAAAAAAUGGUAAACGCGGUUAUUUUUUUCCGAAAACGAAUUUUAUUUUGGUUUGAAUUUUUAUUGCAAAAAUAAUUUAACGUACCCCCCGAAAAACGACGUUAAAAAACUACCAAUAUUUUUUCAAUCUUUGCAAAAUAUAAACGCAUUUUCCGUUUUUUAUUCCAAAAAUUUAAUAAAAAACAAUAAACCGAACGGGAUUUGGCGAAUUCGCGAUAAAUCAAAUUAAUUUUUAUUUAUAUAACCGAAUUUAAAAAAUUGAUAAUAAAAUUAAAUAUAAUCGAAAAAAAUAGAAAUUUUUAAUUUUAUUAAAAAUUAAAAUUAAAAAUAAAAAAUAAAAAAUCCAAAUUCGACCGACCCGAAAGUUUUUUCGAAUACGUUAAAUUUAUUAUUAAAUUCGACAACCGGAUUUCUAAACGCCGAUAAAAAAAAUAAAACGGAUAACAAAUAUUCGUUAUUAUAAUUUGAUAAACCGAUACGGGACGCAAAUACUAAUACUUCCAACCAAUAUAUUAUAAAAAUAACGGUGGAUGAUAAUAAUCCCGUUACGCAAUAUUUUAAAUUUAUAAUAUAAUUUAUAAUAUUUAUAAUAAGUUUAUGGAUUUUAGCGUUAUAUAAUAUAAAAAACCCCGUAAAAACCCCAAAAACGGCAGAUAUUUUAAAUGCGAUAAAAUAAAAUAUAUCGUUAAAUAUUACCUUAAAAACCAAAAAAGCACCCCUAAAAAUAAAAAUAAAACCGAAAAAUUACGAGGAUUUUAUAUUAUUAACCAUUAAUAAAUAUAGUUAAACUAAUAUAACGCAAUGAAUUGAACCGCUUACUAUAUUAAUAAUUAUAUAAUAUAUAAUAAUUCCAAAAUCGACGCAAAUUAAUAUUUAUAAAAACCCCGAAACAUUUGAAUUUUAAUAAUAAAAAACCGAAUAUUUUUAAAAAUAGAAUAACCAACGAGAUUAUACCGAUAAAAAACCCAAUUACCCGAAUUUACGGAUUUAAACGUUUUGAAAAAAAUUAGAUAACAAGUUUUUGGGACAAAUUUAUCGUAAUAAAAUAACCAAUUAAUUUUUCAUAUUAAAAGAAACGAAAAUUUAAAAAAGAAAAUCCAGCGAAAAAAAAAUUAUACCCCCGAAUUAAUAUAAUGUAAUAAAGGAAAUAAUUUUUAUAUAUACGAAAAGAAAUAUAUUAAAUUUUACUAAAACGACCAAUUGAUAUAAUUUUCCGGAUUAUUAUAAUAAGUAUAAAUCCGACAUUUUACGGAACCAAUUAAUAUAAUUUUUGGAAAUUGCCCAAUUUUGGAUAUUUAAUAUUUUUAAUACGUAAAAACUUUUUGGAUAAAAUAUUUCCGAAAUAAUUGUGGGUUUUAUUUAAAUAGGAAAAUAAUCUACAAGUUUUUAUAUAACGACGUAAAAUAAUAAAUAUUUACAAAAUAUAUACCGCAACCGAUUUACCAAAUUGGAAAAUUAAAAUAAAAUUUAAUAUUCAACCAACCGCAAUUUUUACGCCUAACGAUAAUUAUUUUAUAAUAUAUUAUAAUUAAAAAAAAUUUUUAUCAUAUAAAUAUAUCCAAAACGUAUAUAAAAUGUAUAUAUUAAUCAAAAUAUAAAUGUAAUAUAAAUAAAACUUACAAUAAUUAAAACCUGCAUUAAUAAUUAAAAUUAUAUGGAAUUUUAA
rnacentral:sRNA from 1 species